CCCAGAGGUUUGGGCGCUAGUGACGGACAACCUGUAUUAGGCUGAUCAGCUCCCUCUCAUACGCCGCGAGCUUCAGAUGGUGUGGGACAAAGGGGCGACUGAAGAAGGUUACGGCGUCGGCGCCCUGAUGUAGCACCGCGCCGAAGCCAGUCCCUGACGCGUCGCAGUCGACAAUGAAGGGAACGUCGAACGCCGACAGUUGUAGUACCGACGCAGUGGACAUAGUGCGUUUGAGGGCUUGGAAGGCCUCAUCCGCGUCCGGCCCCACUGAUCGCUUCUGACUUGUGAAAAUGGCGGAUGAACUACGCUCUACUUCUAUGGUCCAGAGGGUUCAUGGGCAGUCUGUGUUGUUGAGCAGCAUAUCUUCCUAUUCUACCAUGAACAAUCAUGUAUGCAUAUUCUGCUUACAAUGUGCCCCGGAGGUCAUAUCAUGGGAAUUAAUGCAACUGUUGGACUCUCAUCUAUCAUGGCACCAUCUCCUGUCUUCGCUUCUAUCCCGAAAGAAAAAAGAUUUUUCUCUACUGGUCAUUGGGGGCGACAUGCACAAAUCCAUCUUUAAUUUUUGUAGGGCAUACAAUGGAUUAGAUUAUUUACUGAGGGUUGUAUUUGUUAACACAAUGUAAUAUUCUUCCUUUUUGAGCU